GAUCCGGUGGCCUAGUGGGUAGAGCAUCCGCUUCGGAUGCAAGAGAUCGUGGGUUCUAUCCCCGGUCGAGUCA